GUGUGACCUAAUUCUUCCAGGACUCUGGGCAGGAACCCGGGUGCCGAGGGGCAGGGCCUGGACGCUGCUGUGAGGCCUGCAGAAACCAGGCUCCCUCGCCAGGAGUGGCCAGAGGCGGCCUGAGCAAAAUGAGGGGCGCCAGCUCCCGCCACGAAGGGGGUUCGGGUGAAGGGAACAGUCCUGUAUCAUCUGGGCCUGUCCAGGAAAUAAAAAACGAUAAUCACCAGGAAGCUCAGAGAGCUCAAGUGACUCACCAAAACUCAAACUACUGGUAAGUGGCAGAUCGGGAGCUUCUUCCUUUUUAGAGUCUUCACCUUUAUUGGAAUAGGAUAUAAUUUGGAUAUAUGAGUAAUCUCUGUGAAAAUAUUGUUCAAAGAUGCAAACACAAUUUUCAGAGAUGCCGCUUCUAUAUAAAUACCACGUAAUUUUAUGUUGAGUGUAGCUCAUAUCGUAAGAUCUUGUUUCUUGACUUGGCAAAUGUAAACAAAUGAUUAAAUUAUGAAUUCCUGUCAAUAAAUGGCAUUGCAAGAGCA
rnacentral:lncRNA from 13 species